rnacentral:tRNA from 1 species
CAGUUGGUAGCUCAGUGGUAGGGUUCAUGCUUUGUGUGUAUGACACCCUGGGUUCAAAUCCCAGGUUGCAGA